UCUUAAGGAUGAACAAAGAAAGUGGUUUCUUAAGAUGGAAUCUACUCUUGGUAGACACUGUGAA
rnacentral:pre_miRNA from 1 species